CAUACACACACAGAGACAAGAGAGGAGGAAGGAGAAGAGGACGGCGCCGGCGGGUUAGGUGCCGCCGUCGCCGUCGUUGCCAAGCCCGAAGGAGAAAGAGAGUCCGCAAAGGGAGAGUGAGGGACGAAGAAGAGAAGCCGCGCCAACCCCGCAACGCCACUGCGUCAUCGCCAUCAUCGUGCGAGAAAGGAGAAGGAGCCGUCGAGGGGUCGCUGAGCCGCUGCAGUCGCCGUCGUGUGCGUUUUUGUCACAGAAGCUUCCAUUUCCGUCACUUUCAUGUUGCGGAGAGAAAGAACUACGCAUGAGCCAGGGGCCAGGGAAAGGGAGCCACUGCCGUUGUAUCCUGGCUAUGCCGCCGUUCAAUCCCAUCGCCAUCCAUAAAGUCGCAAGGAGCAUUUGUCGUUGUUGAUUGAUGGUGCCAGCCUCGUUGUCGCGUCUGUAAGGAGAAAAGGUCACGUGGAGGAUGGAGAGCCGCUGGGUGCCGCCGUUGUUUCACCAUGGCCAUGGAGAGAAACAUGAAUGGAAAAGGAAACAGGGAAGCUGCUACUUGGGAUUUGAGAAAAACGGCUCUGUUCUGCCUCGCCUCUAGGUUCUGCAAGUUGCCAGAGUCCUCAGCCGCCGGGAACCAGCACUGAAGCUGCCCAGAAUCACUACUGCUGCUUUCAUGGGAGCUGGUAUUGGAACCACUGAUGGAGUUGCUGUGUUUAGUGAUUUUCACGAGUUGUGACAUCGAGGAUUGAAAUUGUAGAUAAAUGCUUUUGCCAUGACACAAUGGAACAGAUUGUUGAUUCUUUGUUGUAGUCUCUUAUCUCG